CCACUUUACCUCUUCAACCGCAUCAUUCUAUUCUCUUUUAAACUAAAGCAGUUCUCUAUCUCUCUACACCAUCUGUUCACUUUUCCAUCUUUCCUCUACCAUCGUUGCCUUUGAACUAUCGAUGGAACUUAGAAUAGCCUAUUAGUGACUUUCCUAUCUGGAUGGAACACUUAUACCAGGCUAGCUUGUCCAUCUUGUAACUUUGACUCUACUUCUUUUCAUCUGUCAUUUAGUUAGAACUGGUGUUUUGUGGGUCAUCAAUAAUUUUUGUGGUAGGUUCCACCAUAAUUUUUUUCUUUACAUAUAGUGAUGCAUUAGUUAAAACAUUAGAUUGUUAAAAAUUAUCUAAGAUAUAUACUUAUAAAUGAAAUUGUCAUUUUAUACAUUUAUUCGGUUAUUGCUAUAGUUAACUCAUCAGAAGCUGCAUCCAUGAUUCGCGAUCAUGAAGGCAGGUUCAAACUUGUUAUGACAAAAGCUAAUAUGCAUGGAAAUGAUGCCCUUUAUUUUCUAAAUGUAAUUCUUGAAAAGAAUAUUCAUGUAAUCUGUAAGCUGUAGUCUAGAGCUUUUAGUGAUGUUAUAAUUUUCUCCAAGAUAUUUAGUCUCACUUAAUAAAUAUACACACACACACACACACUUGUUUCUAUGAUGUGCAGUCAUCCACUUUGGAUAACUUAAUCAUGGAAAUCAGAGAGCAUUAGCACCUGGUAAGGUGUUAGAGAGGUUCAUUCAUCCACCUUAAUAUAGCUUUGGGAAAAGCAUUUGAAUGCAAAAAAAGAAACCAAUGUACACUGAUGUUGAAUUAGUAACUAUCUUAUGAAAACCAAAGCUUAAUCCCAUAUAUAACUGAUAUAAUGUUCAACAAAAGAAAAGAAAAGGGAAGAGAGAAAAAAGUAACAGUAUUAGUCUCUCCUAACACACUUAAGGCUUCUGUAAACUUCAAAAGCUCAGUAGUCCAAAUAUUGAAAGGUCUUUCCAAAGCAAUCUAACUAUAGCUGUUAUUAUUGUGAAGGUUCAUAUGGGACCAAAAUCUUGGAUAAAAUUAUAAGUCAUUAAAAGAUCUGAACUAAAGCUGACAUAUUACAGGAAUGUUCUUUUCAAGAAUACAUUCAGAAAAAGGGCUUUACCUAGGCACAUUAGCUUUUGUGAUGACAAGUUUGAACCUGCCUUCAUUAUCAUGAAUCAUAGAUGUAGCUUCUGAUGCUUUAAUUGUAGCAGUAAUUGAAUAAAGGUAUAAAAUGACAGUUUGAUUUUUAAGUAUAUAUCUUACAUAAUUUUUAACAUGAUGUAAUGUUUUCGCUAAUGCACCACUGUAUGUAAAGAAAAAAUUAUGGUGGGGCUCUAUUCAUGAAGAUGCUGAACAUUCAUACAUAAUGAAGGUCAUCAGGAGGAAGUGAAAAAAAAAGUAGAUUAAGAUUAUUUAGACAAAACUAUGAUUGGAGCAAAAGUCGUGAAGAAAGUAUCAAGAGUCCUCUAUUGGCAAUCAAGUAAACUGAAUGGGCUUGAUAUAUUGAUUACAGAUUAGACAACAUGACUCAGAGGUAUAUAAAAAGGACGCUCAAAAUAGAACCAAGCAUUCAAUACACCACCCUGGCGAUUCAAAAAGCCCCGAGAAAGGAGUGUAGGGAUAAUUCACUGAUUCAGCCACUGGUUCAUCGACACCGCCAGAUGCCAGUUCGCCCCUAACUACCAGUACUUGGGUCAUUUGCAUUGAAGACGAUUCUCCUUGAACUCGUUCGUGGUAUUCAUUUUCCCUCUAAAAAACUUGUUAUUGUUUUCGAUUUUUUAUCAGUUAUUUUUGUUUUAGUUUUUGAUUAUUGUUUAUUUAUUUAUGAAAUAUGAGUUUUAGUUGGUUGGAAAGUUAGAAAUACAAAGUUAUAUAUGCAUACUUGUACAAAGGGUAGACAAAUAGUGUCUUUUUCUCACAUGAUGUGGCAUUGUCUUAUUGAUUUUGUAAUCAAUUUAUUAAAUUUUUAGUGCAACAGACUAUGUAGUCAAUUCUUUCGGGACUUGUUAUUGUUUUUCCUUGUUUAUAUUUCAGAAGUUUGAUAAAAUAAAAUUGUUUUCAUGUUAGUCAAUAAGUAAAUGGCGUGAGGUUAAUAUUUUCACAUUUUUUAUGAAAUUAUUGUUUUGCAAAUGGUUUUGAUUUUUACAAUGAUGGUUAUUUUGAAGCAGCUAGCUCUAAACUUAUAUGCAAGCAUAAUUGGUUUCGAAAAAUAGAGGGAAGAAUGCAAUAAUUUUUUAUUUUGUAUGAUUUGAGAAGGUUUAUGAUCUAAUUCACAAACCAGACUGGUGUAUGUAUAAGCUGAGGAAUUAUAUUUCACAAAAAAGAUGAAGCUUUUCUGAACGCAGGACUAGUUAGGAAAAGGCUUAAUGGACUGUUCUUCAUUAUUUAUAAUGUAUUGAGCUUGUUUGUUAGUAUUCUGUGAUAUCUUUUAACUCGGGUGUGGUAUGCUAAAAUUAUUGUUAUGUGCUGGACAUUUUUUUGAAAAGAAAUUUGAUGCGGCUGUUGUUCAUCUUUACUUCAACUUCUUCAUUAAUGAAUGCUUAAUUUGUUAUACUAGUAGUUUAAUGAAACAUGCCUGGUAGUUUAAUGAAAUAUAU